UCCAGGGAUCGAACCCAGGUCUCCUGCAAUGCAGGCGGAUUCUUUACCAGCUGAGCCACAAGGGAAACCACUUUGUUUUCAAAGUGGUGUGUAUUUCUGUGAACAUGUGUCAGAGACACGCGGCAUAUCAGCAUAGAGAAAUGUUUGACCAGAACCCCAAACAAGGUUGAGCUUUUUCUUACACAGCAAUCUAACCGCAGCACUACUGUGUACGUAUCCUCCCUGGCACUUUGUGGGGAAGCCCCUGGCUGCACAAAAUGUCCAUGUUUUAGGAAUCAGUGACCCUCAAGGAUAUCGCUGUAGACUUCACCCAGGAAGAAUGGGCCCUGUUGGACACCUCUCAGAAAAAGCUGUUCAGAGAAGUGAUGCUGGAGAGCCUUAGUCAUCUGGUCUCUGUGGGGUAUAAACUCAGCAAAUCAGAUGUGAUUUCCCAGCUGGCGCAGGGAGCGGAGCUGUGUAAGGAAGAGAAAGGAUUUCCCCAGUGCCCGAGUUCAGACAAGAAAAGUGAUCCUGUGAGACAAGAAAAAAUAUCCCUGCAAGAUACCUACAGGGAAGACCUAUCUAACUGUGAAUGACAUGACUGUAGUGGACAUGCCAUCGAAUCCUGAGGGCUCUCACUGCCUGGGGGCUGCAAGAGGAAAUUGACUUUGUUUUCAUCUCAAUCGUGUUUGAUUUAUAACACUAAUUAAAAGUUUUUAAAAUGUGAAAAUCCCUAAGAAAUAGUCUUUAUUCAAUGCAGUAGAACCUGAAUAUAACUAUAGUUCUCAGUCAACUCAAAGAUGCUUUUUGGAAGGUUCCAUACGCGUGUGAUCAUGAAUCACCAGUUGGUAACCUUUCUCUGGGCUAGUUUUCCCUAAAGGACAGAUUUGUUUUCAGGAACUAAUAAACUGAAUAAGGCAUACCUUUGAAUAUUAAAUGUGGUAGUGAUAUUAAUCUUCUGA